rnacentral:rRNA from 1 species
UACGGAGGGAGCUAGCGUUGUUCGGAUAUACUGGGCUUAAAGGGCGCGUAGGCGGGCCGUCAAGUCAGGGGUGAAAGCCCCCAGCUCAACUGGGGAAGUGCCUUUGAUACUGACGGCCUCGAGGGAGAUAGGGGCGUGCGGAACUUCCGGUGGAGCGGUGAAAUGCGUAGAUAUCGGAAGGAACACCGGUGGCGAAAGCGGCGCGCUGGAUCUCUUCUGACGCUGAGGCGCGAAAGCCAGGGGAGCGAACGGG